rnacentral:rRNA from 1 species
AAAUUGAAGAGUUUGAUCAUGGCUCAGAUUGAACGCUGGCGGCAGGCCUAACACAUGCAAGUCGAACGGUAACAGGAAGCAGCUUGCUGCUUUGCUGACGAGUGGCGGACGGGUGAGUAAUGUCUGGGAAACUGCCUGAUGGAGGGGGAUAACUACUGGAAACGGUAGCUAAUACCGCAUAACGUCGCAAGACCAAAGAGGGGGACCUUCGGGCCUCUUGCCAUCGGAUGUGCCCAGAUGGGAUUAGCUAGUAGGUGGGGUAAAGGCUCACCUAGGCGACGAUCCCUAGCUGGUCUGAGAGGAUGACCAGCCACACUGGAACUGAGACACGGUCCAGACUCCUACGGGAGGCAGCAGUGGGGAAUAUUGCACAAUGGGCGCAAGCCUGAUGCAGCCAUGCCGCGUGUAUGAAGAAGGCCUUCGGGUUGUAAAGUACUUUCAGCGGGGAGGAAGGGAGUAAAGUUAAUACCUUUGCUCAUUGACGUUACCCGCAGAAGAAGCACCGGCUAACUCCGUGCCAGCAGCCGCGGUAAUACGGAGGGUGCAAGCGUUAAUCGGAAUUACUGGGCGUAAAGCGCACGCAGGCGGUUUGUUAAGUCAGAUGUGAAAUCCCCGGGCUCAACUCGGGAACUGCAUCUGAUACUGGCAAGCUUGAGUCUCGUAGAGGGGGUAGAAUUCCGGUGUAGCGGUGAAAUGCGUAGAGAUCUGGAGGAAUACCGGUGGCGAAGGCGGCCCCUGGACGAAGACUGACGCUCAGGUGCGAAAGCGUGGGGAGCAAACAGGAUUAGAUACCCUGGUAGUCCACGCCGUAAACGAUGUCGACUUGGAGGUUGUGCCCUUGAGGCGUGGCUUCCGGAGCUAACGCGUUAAGUCGACCGCCUGGGGAGUACGGCCGCAAGGUUAAAACUCAAAUGAAUUGACGGGGGCCCGCACAAGCGGUGGAGCAUGUGGUUUAAUUCGAUGCAACGCGAAGAACCUUACCUGGUCUUGACAUCCACGGAAGUUUUCAGAGAUGAGAAUGUGCCUUCGGGAACCGUGAGACAGGUGCUGCAUGGCUGUCGUCAGCUCGUGUUGUGAAAUGUUGGGUUAAGUCCCGCAACGAGCGCAACCCUUAUCCUUUGUUGCCAGCGGUCCGGCCGGGAACUCAAAGGAGACUGCCAGUGAUAAACUGGAGGAAGGUGGGGAUGACGUCAAGUCAUCAUGGCCCUUACGACCAGUGGCUACACACGUGCUACAAUGGCGCAUACAAAGAGAAGCGACCUCGCGAGAGCAAGCGGACCUCAUAAAGUGCGUCGUAGUCCGGAUUGGAGUCUGCAACUCGACUCCAUGAAGUCGGAAUCGCUAGUAAUCGUGGAUCAGAAUGCCACGGUGAAUACGUUCCCGGGCCUUGUACACACCGCCCGUCACACCAUGGGAGUGGGUUGCAAAAGAAGUAGGUAGCUUAACCUUCGGGAGGGCGCUUACCACUUUGUGAUUCAUGACUGGGGUGAAGUCGUAACAAGGUAACCGUAGGGGAACCUGCGGUUGGAUCACCUCCUUA